rnacentral:rRNA from 1 species
UACAGAGGGUGCAAGCGUUAAUCGGAAUUACUGGGCGUAAAGCGUGCGUAGACGGUUACGUAAGUCAGAUGUGAAAGCCCCGGGCUCAACCUGGGAAUUGCAUUUGAGACUGCGUAGCUAGGGUGCGGAAGAGGGAAGCGGAAUUUCCGGUGUAGCGGUGAAAUGCGUAGAUAUCGGAAGGAACACCAGUGGCGAAAGCGGCUUCCUGGUCCAGCACCGACGUUCAGGCACGAAAGCGUGGGAGCAAACAGG